AUACUUACCUGGACGGGGUCGAUGGGUGAUCCUUAAGGCCUAUGGCCUAGUUUGGUGACCUCCAUUGCACUUUAGAGGGGUGCCUGCCUAAGGUCGGUCCAAGUGGUCGAGCCUGUGUCAUAAUUUGUGACAAAGGGGGCUUGCAUUUGCGGGGCCCCUG